rnacentral:rRNA from 1 species
AUUGAACGCUGGCGGAAUGCUUUACACAUGCAAGUCGAACGGCAGCACGGACUUCGGUCUGGUGGCGAGUGGCGAACGGGUGAGUAAUGCAUCGGAACGUGCCCAGUCGUGGGGGAUAACGUAGCGAAAGUUACGCUAAUACCGCAUACGAUCUAUGGAUGAAAGCGGGGGACCGUAAGGCCUCGCGCGAUUGGAGCGGCCGAUGUCAGAUUAGGUAGUUGGUGGGGUAAAGGCUCACCAAGCCGACGAUCUGUAGCUGGUCUGAGAGGACGACCAGCCACACUGGGACUGAGACACGGCCCAGACUCCUACGUGAGGCAGCAGUGGGGAAUUUUGGACAAUGGGCGCAAGCCUGAUCCAGCCAUUCCGCGUGCAGGAUGAAGGCCCUCGGGUUGUAAACUGCUUUUGUACGGAACGAAACGGUCUGCUCUAAUACAGCGGGCUAAUGACGGUACCGUAAGAAUAAGCACCGGCUAACUACGUGCCAGCCGCCGCAGUAA